rnacentral:lncRNA from 1 species
UUUCAAAUGCAUUGCACAGAUUUUCAACCUUAACUACGAAAUUGCCAGACCAGGACAAGUGUCCAGUGGACAUUUUAAUGCAGUACCUCCAGCUCCACCCUCUGCAAGUCGGACAGCCCCUCCUCCUUCUCUCAACUCUCCAGUUCCGCCGCCUCCUCCUCCACAGCUACCCAGCUCUCUAGCAGAUUCUCUUUCUGUGCAGAUUUCCCAGCAGCUUUCUCAAACUCUCGACCCCAUUCCUCGUUCUGUAGCCGAUAUUAACCCCCGUCUGCUCAAGCUUGAAAAUUCCCUGCAUUCAGCCCCGCCUCCUUCAGCCCCGCCCAUCUCCAGUCUCUGUUUUCUCCUCCACCCUCCGCACAGCUAAGCCUCACACUCUAUGCUGCUCUCAGGCCACCCUCAUUUUCGC